rnacentral:rRNA from 1 species
UACGUAGGGUGCAAGCGUUGUCCGGAAUUAUUGGGCGUAAAGAGCUCGUAGGCGGUCUGUCACGUCGGCUGUGAAAACCCGAGGCUCAACCUCGGGCCUGCAGUCGAUACGGGCAAACUAGAGUACUGCAGGGGAGACUGGAAUUCCUGGUGUAGCGGUGAAAUGCGCAGAUAUCUGGAGGAACACCGGUGGCGAAGGCGGCGCUCUGGGCCGGUACUGACACUGAGGAGCGAAAGCGUGGGUAGCAAACAGG